rnacentral:rRNA from 1 species
AUACGGAGGGAGCAAGCGUUAUUCGGAAUCACUGGGCGUAAAGGACGCGUAGGCGGGUUUGUAAGUCAGGUGUGAAAUCCUACAGCUCAACUGUGGAACUGCACUUGAAACUACAGACCUAGAGUAUGGAAGGGGCAGAUGGAAUUAGUGGUGUAGGGGUAAAAUCCGUAGAUAUCACUAGGAAUACCGAAAGCGAAGGCGAUCUGCUGGGACAUUACUGACGCUGAGGCGUGAAAGCGUGGGGAGCAAACAGGAUUAGAUACCCUAGUAGUCC